rnacentral:rRNA from 1 species
GACGAACGCUGGCGGCGUGCUUAACACAUGCAAGUCGAACGGAAAGGCCCUGCUUUUGUGGGGUGCUCGAGUGGCGAACGGGUGAGUAACACGUGAGUAACCUGCCCUUGACUUUGGGAUAACUUCAGGAAACUGGGGCUACUACCGGAUAGGAGCUCCUGCUGCAUGGUGGGGGUUGGAAAGUUUCGGCGGUCGGGGAUGGACUCGCGGCUUAUCAGCUUGUUGGUGGGGUAGUGGCUUACCAAGGCUUUGACGGGUAGCCGGCCUGAGAGGGUGACCGGCCACAUUGGGACUGAGAUACGGACCAGACUCCUACGGGAGGCAGCAGUGGGGAAUAUUGCACAAUGGGCGGAAGCCUGAUGCAGCAACGCCGCGGGCGGGAUGACGGCCUUCGGGUUGUAAACCGCUUUCGCCUGUGACGAAGCGUGAGUGACGGUAAUGGGUAAAGAAGCACCGGCUAACUACGUG